UCCUGCGGAGAGCGAAGGAAGCAGAAACAUUUUUUAAUUGAAGAACCAGAUAACAGUUGACUGGGGUGUUUUAAAAUUGCUAUUGACAACAAGAAAUAGAAAAAUAAGUUCCUCAAGACAGUUCCCUGAAAUAAACAGGUCUUCUUCAAUGCUGCUAAACCCAACCCACCGGUCUAAAUAGACUAUUUUGUUCCCUCCGUCCCCCCCAGGGAUGGGGAUGAUAGGGCGAUUAAGAGAUAUCUUGCAUUAUCAGCAACAUAACAACACUACUGCUCUGUCUCCUGAUGAAUCCCGGUCUUGUCUGUUUCACAGUCUUUGAGCUUCUUUGGUACCACCCGCCUCAAGCUUAACAUGUCCAAUCCAAAUACAUAAUGUCUCAAAGGGUAUUAUGCACAGGUUUUUUCCUAAAGUUUCUUACGAGUUCUCACUCCUCCUGUGCGACUGUCAAUCUUCCAUUAUCUCCCUCACUGAUCUCUACAAGAGGAUGAAGGAGGCUCACAGACGCGAGAUGUGGAGUUUUUCAGUUGGAGGGAGUGAGGAUGAGUAUGAAAGGAAGGAAGCUGGAGCGAUGUGAGUGAGAGAUGGAUUCAAAUGGAGAGCGAUUCAUUCACGCAAGACAGGAAUUCUCCAUUCACGCAGCCGCCAAGAUUACACACUCCCAUCAGGAAGCCAUCUGGAACAGCCGAUGAAGGUACUUUUUAUAGGUUAGUGGACAAACAAAGGGCAUGAAUAACGCUCUAAACAACCCAGUGAAUAUUUCAUUAGUCGAGUCUUUGUUGUCAACUGAACUGGGUCAGGUAGCUUCCACAUGCUACACAGUAUGUGCAGACCAGCUUGUAUUAGAAGUUGUCUGCAGGGGAUCAUGUGCUCACACCCGUCUAAUACAUGCACUGUAUAAAUCAAUCAGGUGAACAAAUAUUUACACGAGCUCUUCUAAUUUACGAGAACUGUAAAUGGGAGCGGGAGUGUCAGUGAAAAUUUAAAUGUAAUUUAUUGGAUCCCCAUUUUCUCUUCUCAAACAGCUUGAGAUAAUUUGUUGACCUACUGCUUCAGAAAUCAAUGUUUAUAAUGGAGCAAAUUUAAAGGUAUAUUCUUUUAUUUUGUUGUAACAUCAUGUGGACGAUAUUGGAACUCAAAUGUGAAAUGAGUAAAGUUUUAAAACAACAACAGUUAA